UACGAAGGGAGCGAGCGUUGUUCGGAAUCACUGGGCUUAAAGCGUGCGUAGGUGGAUUGGUAAGUCAGGAGUGAAAUCCCGGGGCUUAACCCCGGAACUGCUCUUGAGACUGCCUGUCUGGAACUCGGUAGAGGUUGGUGGAACUCCCAGUGUAGAGGUGAAAGGCGCAGAUAUUGGGAAGAACACCGAUGGCGAAGGCGACCAACUGGACCGACAUUGACACUGAGGCACGAAAGCGUGGGUAGCAAACAGG
rnacentral:rRNA from 1 species